AUUGAACGCUGGCGGCAGGCCUAACACAUGCAAGUCGAGCGGAUGAAGGGAGCUUGCUCCUGGAUUCAGCGGCGGACGGGUGAGUAAUGCCUAGGAAUCUGCCUGGUAGUGGGGGAUAACGUCCGGAAACGGGCGCUAAUACCGCAUACGUCCUGAGGGAGAAAGUGGGGGAUCUUCGGACCUCACGCUAUCAGAUGAGCCUAGGUCGGAUUAGCUAGUUGGUGGGGUAAAGGCCUACCAAGGCGACGAUCCGUAACUGGUCUGAGAGGAUGAUCAGUCACACUGGAACUGAGACACGGUCCAUACUCCUACGGGAGGCAGCAGUGGGGAAUAUUGGACAAUGGGCGAAAGCCUGAUCCAGCCAUGCCGCGUGUGUGAAGAAGGUCUUCGGAUUGUAAAGCGCUUUAAGUUGGGAGGAAGGGCAGUAAGUUAAUACCUUGCUGUUUUGACGUUACCAACAGAAUAAGCACCGGCUAACUUCGUG
rnacentral:rRNA from 1 species